AGUGAACGCUGGCGGCAUGCCUAACACAUGCAAGUCGAACGGCAGCACAGCAGUAGCAAUACUGUGGGUGGCGAGUGGCGGACGGGUGAGGAACACAUCGGAAUUUGCCCAGUCGUGGGGGAUAACGUAGGGAAACUUACGCUAAUACCGCAUACGACCUUACGGUGAAAGCGGGGGAUCGCAAGACCUCGCGCGGAUGGAUGAGCCGAUGUCGGAUUAGCUAGUUGGUGGGGUAAAGGCCUACCAAGGCGACGAUCCGUAGCUGGUCUGAGAGGAUGAUCAGCCACACUGGGACUGAGACACGGCCCAGACUCCUACGGGAGGCAGCAGUGGGGAAUAUUGGACAAUGGGGGCAACCCUGAUCCAGCAAUGCCGCGUGUGUGAAGAAGGCCUUCGGGUUGUAAAGCACUUUUAUCCGGAACGAAACGUGCGGGGUGAAUAGCCUCGUAAACUGACGGUACCGGAGGAAUAAGCACCGGCUAACUUCGUG
rnacentral:rRNA from 1 species